CUUAGGAUUCUUGUUGGAGAU
rnacentral:miRNA from 1 species